rnacentral:lncRNA from 1 species
CAAGACUCCAGUUUUUAGUUGUCUUACAGCGAAGACGGUCUUCUGUUUCUCGCUACAGUCGCAGCUCUCAAACACCAUUUCCAUCUCGUAGAUCCAAUCCAUAAUCUCCAUAGGCUUUGGGCUUCCUGAGAGAUUUGGUGGUUUCGCACCCAAGAAAUUCUUGUACAUUCGCUCGUCCUUGUCGUUUCUCCUCUCUGGGCCAUCCCUUUGUUCACCUUGAGUCCCCACUUGACUCACUUGGCGGCUAUAGAUCCCUUCCUCCGAUUGCUCGGGAAUCAGCUCGGGUUGCUCAGUGGGCAUAGUAGGUUCGUCCCUAUUCGACAUCCGCCUCANGCCCGAAUCAUGGCUUGAACUCCAACCAUGGUGACUGGCUCAGGUGCAACUUCUUCUACAAUAGGUAUUUGUUGAACCCCUGGGGGUUGGUUCCUAUUCUCAUUUGCAUUCACGUUUCCACUAUGGGUACUUACCAUCUUGAUCUAUACACCGGAUAAGGUAAAUCUAGACCUUUACUUAGGAUUGACGUUUAAAUCCUCCUUAUCACUUCGAAACGUUUACAUGCCAGUUCUAAUAUCGUAGUCGUACGUUUAGAAUCCUAAACACAUAAGGUUUCCAGAUCCGGUAGGCAACAGACCAUAGAUCCGAACAAUUAACAACAUAUCAUGCACAAAGCAUUUAGCACAUAAAAGCAUUUUAGGCAUAAUUCCUAAAAUAAGCUAGUGCUCACACCUCACAAUCAUCGCUUAGCAUUCUAAGUUUAAGUCUAGAAAUAAAUCCAUAUUCCUAGUUCGCUUAAACUAAUGCUCUGAUACCAACUGUGACAUCCCCAAUUUCACGGCCAGAAAAGACCGAUUUUGUUUAUGCUUUAUAAAAAUCAGAGUACUUCAUUUUAUAAAAAUGUUGCGGAAUUUGUUCCCAGAAAAACACGAUAAAUACGUUAUUAAAACAUUUUCGAAGAAACGUAUUUAUUUCAUUUUAAAACGUUUGGGAUGUCAUCGUUAAUACAGAAACAUAAGCAUAAACAGAACUUACAAUUAUUUACACUAGUGAUCUACAUCUCUUUAAAUCUCUCAGUGUAAUGUGACUUCAUAUCAACACCUGUGAUAUAAAUAAACUGAGUGGGUCAGGUUGGGAAACCUGGUGAGUACAUAGGGUUUUCAACCCACAAUAAUAUAAUUAUUAUGUUCAAUCAAACAAUCAACCCAAUUACCCAUCCCCAUUAUCUUCUUUACUCCUUAAGGAUUUAACCUAAGAGUCAUCUAUCCUGCAUUCGUUUAUUCCGAAGUCCCUUACUUCCAGGGUUAUAGGACUGGCACUAAAUCCAUAGCUGCCAAUGUUCGUUCAUAAAGCACUAAUUCCAUAGCUGCUAUAGUCUAUUCAUCGGGUACUAAAUCCAUAGCUACCAGUGUUUAUCUAAUAGGUACUAAGUCCAUAGCUACCAAUUCCUGACAGGUACUAAAUCCAUAGCUACCGGUGUUUGUCCAAUAGGCACUAAGUCCAUAGCUACCAAUAUUUACUCACAUCAUCUUUUAACUCUCAUCAUUCAUCUACCCAUGUCAUGCCAAACAUAUUCGUAUAUAUAACAUGCGUAUACAGUUUAAAUCCUUUAAAACAUGUAUAAAACGUUCAUCCAACAUAGACAACAAGUAUUCAAAUAAUAUGCACACAUAGCACGUAGUUUAUAUAAAAUACUUCAUAUCUAUGUGUAAGAUGAAAGGGACUAUGCACUCACCUGAAAGGUGGUGACUCAGCACUCGAACAGCGCUUCGAUACCCUCAACACAAUUUUCUUCGAUAAAACCUAGUACCAGUACCACUAGGGUUUAGUCUAACGAUAACCGAGACAAAUUAAUAGUCUGACUAUUAUUAUUAUUAUAUAAGCGUUAAAUAACACUGAAUAUAACUCAUGAUAAUAGCCCAAAUAAUUAUUUUAACGACCUAAUAACAUUACUAUAAUUAUUUGAAAGCUAUAUUAAAAGUUGCGUAAGGGUAGCUCACUUACAACGAAUUUUAUCGAAAACCGAAACUUUAUUUUGGAGCAGCGUUUCGAAACCGAAAGACUCUUUUUCUCGGGACUCCGGGAGCCUCGGGGCUUCCCUCGGGAGCUAGGGGUUUUAUCUAGGGCAAAGGGGGGUUUGGGGUCUUAGAGAGAGAAAUAUUUUAGAGAGAGAAGAAGAUUUUGGUGUGAAAAUGUGUGAAAAUCUCAGAACCUUCGCAUGCCUUUUGUAGGUGCCUGACUUUGGACUACGCUGGGCGUAGCCUUCGGUUACGCUGGGUGUAACUCCGGAUAAGACUGCCAGCCUCGGUCCAGCUAUCUCGCACUCAUCUCGGAAGGAUCAGACCUAAGUUACGCGGGGCGUAACUUCUUUGUACGCGGGGCGUAAUAGCGAGGGUAGCGUGUCACUCAUCCGAAGUGGGUACCGAGUCAGCGAUGGAGGGUCUAGAUUGUGCCAUGUCAUCGAUUCUUCAUCAGGUCUCGCAAUUUCAUGCUUCAACUUUAAAAAUUCGUAACAUUCGCAUACGAGUUCCAUUUUCGACGUUCUUUAUAUCCACGCGAAGGCGGGAACGUACUCUACAACUUUCAUUUAGACUUCGUCGGCUAAUUUUGACUUGAUUUUAAAUUUUAUAUUAUUAACAGGCCAGGACAGGAUUACUCCGUUAAAUCCUCAUAACUUCUUCAUCCGACGUCCGUUUUUGCCCAUAUUUUUCUCUUUACGCUACUCUUAACGAGAUCUUCGAUUUUCGUUUAGGUCGUGUCGGCUAAAAAUCACUCGAUCUAAUAUUCGAAUUUUGGGUUGUACACCGCUAAUCCGAAACUUCAAAAAAAUCAUAACUUCUUCAUACGAAGUCAGAUUUGGGCAUUCUUUUUAUCGAUGUUCUUAGCUUAACAUACUAUAUGACUUUUGUUUAGAGCGCUAAGGCUAAAUCUCACUCUAUCAUAAAUUUACUAUUUACGCUUCCCGGUGCCAUGCCGGUUCCGACGCGAAACUUCGACGGGUCAUAACUUCUUCGUUAUAACUCGGAUUUCGGUGUUCUUUAUAUGUAUGGAAACCUUGUGACAUAUUCUACAACUUGGUUAAGAUUAUUUAUUCUAAAUAAUGUUUUGUCGAAAAUUCGUUUUCGACCCCUAUUGCCUCUAAUUUGACUAGCCCGGAUUUGCGGGCGUUACAAUUAUCUCCCCCUUAGGAUGAUUACGUCCCGGAAUCAUCAACGAAACAGGGUCGUAUAAUGACUCCAUACGUCAUCUCUUCAUCCUAGGUAAUAAUUAUAACUUCUACAUUCCAUCAAGUCCAUCUCAUAGUCUCAUUGACUGUAAGCAGUACUCGAUCGUGCACCUGCUUUAUACCUCAGGCUAGACUCCAAAUUAUGACCUUCAAGUCACAAUCUCAAUCCUCACUGGAUACGAAAUUGAGAUGAGUUCUUUUAUUACUACUAUGGAUCGAUGUGUCAUAUUCUAAUGAGUUAUCAUCGUAUGUUGCAACGCUUAGACUUAGGUCUCUCAAAUUCCGGAAUGGAAUAUGCCUUCCUUCAUGGUCUAAUGUGAUAUAAUCACAUUUUUAUCAUGUAGCAUUUCUAGCUACCAACUUCUUUAACAAUGAGCGCAAUAUUGCUUAGAUUUCAAUUGUUUGGUUUAAGUCGGACGCUACAUCGAACUUGGUUCUCUGAACCACGUAACCUACUCAUCGUAGUUGGACUCAAUGUGAUAUGACCACUAGGGUCGGGAUAACAACAAUCUUCUUAGUCAUUACCGAAACAAUGGUAACGACAUACUUGAAUAAAACGAAAUCAAUUACUAGCUUCUUGGUAACCUUGUGACUUUCCCUGAUCCAAGUGUGAGUCAUUUGCUUCCGGUAGUAUAGGCCUCUACUACCAUUCACACCUACUCAUACUCGUCCCAAGUAUUGUCUCGCAGUUUCCCAAGUCACCAUGCAGCAAAUCACACAAUCAUUCAACACAUCAGAUAACAAAACGAAGGUUUUAUAUUAAUUCUUGAAACGAUUACAUAGGUGUUCAAGUUCACCCUAGACUAUGCCUCUACUAGGCUACAUCAUACGAAACUAUGGCUACUGCAUAAUCCGAUCUUCGGGUAAGAAGUCCUCAUUCUUGAUUCCUCGCAUGGUUCUCUGCUUCGUCGAGGAUCAUGUGAAAUGCCCUUGGCCUUGGUGGCGUUUCUGGUCUUGCUGCUUUAUUUUUCCUUGGGCAGUCUCUGGACAUGUGCCCCUUGCCUCCACAUCCGUAGCAUACUUUAUCAUUAUGUGUGCAGUCCUUGGAAUAGUGACCAGUCCUCCCACACUUGUAACAAGUCACUUCUUCGUUGCACUUCCCACAAUGCUUCUUUUUGCAUUUAUCACACCAUCUCGCUUCACCUCCAUCUCCUAUUCCAAGCUUUGAGAAUUUGUUUUCGUUGUUGGACCUUGAAGAUCCUUCAAACUUCCUCUUCUCUCCUGCCUUAUCUUUUUCUAGACCUUUUUCUCUUAUCUGGGCCUCUACGUUCUUAGCUGCCCUAACAGCUGUUUUCAAGGUAGUUGCCAUUUUGACCAUUGGGCCAAAGUCAGUGGGCAGUCCGUUAGCAAACCUAUCAAUCUUGGAGAGUUCAGUAGGCACCAAGUAGGUAAAUAGCUUCAUCCUCUCGGUGAAUGCGGUGGCAUACUCAUCAACACUCAUCUUCCCUUUCUUCAGGUUCUGAAACUCGUUGUUUAGGACUACCAGAUCUAUCUCCGAGCAGUACUGCAUUUUCAACUGUUCUAAGAACUCUUCCCAUGACAUCCUUAAGGCUUCUCCUUGUGGCAUCGUAUCUGCCAAUACCUUCCACCAGGUCAAGACUCCAGUUUUUAGUUGUCUUACAGCGAAGACGGUCUUCUGUUUCUCGCUACAGUCGCAGCUCUCAAACACCAACUCCAUCUCGGAGAUCCAAUCGAUAAUCUCCAUAGGCUUUGGGCUUCCUGAGAGACUUGGUGGUUUCGCACCCAAGAAAUUCUUGUACAUUCGCCCGUCCUUGUCGUUUCUCCUCUCCGGGCCAUCCUUUUGUUCACCUUGAGUCCUCACUUGACUCACUUGGCGGAUGUAGUUCCCUUCCUCCGAUUGCUAGGGAAUCAGCUCGGGUUGCUCAGUGGGCAUAGUAGGUUCGUCCCUAUUCAACAUCCGUCUCAUUUCUUCCCUUU